rnacentral:rRNA from 1 species
GACGAACGCUGGCGGCGUGCUUAACACAUGCAAGUCGAACGGAAAGGCCCUGCUUUUGUGGGGUUCUCGAGUGGCGAACGGGUGAGUAACACGUGAGUAACCUGCCCUUGACUUUGGGAUAACUUCAGGAAACUGGGGCUAAUACCGGAUAGGAGCUCCUGCUGCAUGGUGGGGGUUGGAAAGUUUCGGCGGUUGGGGAUGGACUCGCGGCUUAUCAGCUUGUUGGUGGGGUAGUGGCUUACCAAGGCUUUGACGGGUAGCCGGCCUGUGAGGGUGACCGGAGAAAGUGGGACUGAGAGACGGAACAGAAUACUACGGGAGGCAGAAGUGGGGAAUAUAGAAGAAUGGGCGGAAGCCUGAUGCAGAAACGCCGCGAGCGGGAUGAAGGCCUUCGGGUUGUAAAACGAUUUGGCAUGUGACGAAGCGAGAGUGACGGUAAUGGGUAAAGAAGCAACGGCUAACUACGUG